UACGGGGGGUGCGAGCGUUGUCCGGAAUCACUGGGCGUAAAGGGCGCGUAGGCGGCCCGGUAAGUAGGGGGUGAAAUCUUGCGGCUUAACCGCAAGGCUGCCUUCUAAACUGCCAGGCUCGAGCACAGUAGAGGCAGGUGGAAUUCCCGGUGUAGCGGUGGAAUGCGUAGAGAUCGGGAAGAACAUCGGUGGCGAAGGCGGCCUGCUGGGCUGUUGCUGACGCUGAGGCGCGACAGCGUGGGGAGCAAACAGG
rnacentral:rRNA from 1 species